GGCGCUAUAGCCAAGUGGUUAAGGCGAUUGAUUAGAAUUUGAAAUUGACAAACAGUUCAUCAAUUCCCGUUUCGGGGCGCAGGUUCGAGUCCUGCUGGCGUCG